AUUGAAACCUUGUUGUACAGAUGGAACAUUGGCUGUGGAUUCUUCUUGCUGCUCUUUUCUUUGGUAAGACACAAAGAUCAACAUGUUUCCUCUUCAAACACUUCAACACAUUACUGAGCUGUACAUGAAGAGCUGUUCAAGCUGCUGAUUGUUGUCCUUCAAUCAAUCAUCUUUAUUGAUUCAUCUCUUCCUCUGCAUGUUCUGUUCUUCCUCAGAGUGUAAAGGAGAAGACAAAGUGAUCCAACCAGGAGGAGAAGUCAUUGCUGCUGAAGGAGACUCUGUCACACUCAACUGUUCCUUUAAGACCAGUUCAGCAGGCACCCCGUAUUUGUUCUGGUACAAACAAGAAGUGAACAGUUACCCAAAGUACAUGUUGAAACGUGACACCUAUGGAACAGAAGAAAAUGCUCCAGAAUUUGGAACAAAAGACAAUUCUCCAGAGUUCAAGAAAGACAGAUUUAAUGCAGAAGUCAAAGACAAAUCAGUUCCUCUGACGAUCCAGAAGCUUCAUGUGUCAGACUCUUCUGUGUACUACUGUGCUCUGCAGCCCACAGUGACAGGAAACAACAAAACUCUGUACAAAAACCUGGAAAGACAAUUCAGUAUCCUUACAAACAACCAAAGGGUGCUAUGAAAUGAAAUAAAUAAAUAAAUAAAGUGCAUGUAAAUAAUCAGCAGCACUGCUUUAGUCUACAAAUACGCAGAUGAGACUUAGAUUUACAGCAUUGUCACAACAUACUCGACUUGUGACCAGGGGAGACGGAGCUUUUUCAGUUGCUGGUCCCAAACUCUGGAAUGUGCCCCCCAUUCCAUGAGGUCUGCCAGUUCUGUUUAUGAUUUUAAAGGGGCCACACUAUAUCCAUAUAUAUCAUCAUAUAUUACCUUUGGACCACUAAGAAACGAAUGAUUUAUGAAAUGUUUCAUAUUUUGUGAGUUUUUUCCUACCCAGAAGUAAAACGACUCGAUUCGUGAAGCUCAUUCCAGUGCGGCAUGUGGCUGCACUGCUGCUGCAGUCCAUUUCAUGACGUCAUCCCAAAGAAAUCCGUCUCUGCAUUUCUCCCACGAAAAUAAUCCAAACUUCUUCAAAGAUGGAUGCACAUACAAUAUAUCUGCCUUUGGUGGGCCUGGCCAUCGCUACACUGGUCCACAACACACAUCAAGGAGUGAAAGCAGAACAACUUUCUGCAGAUAAACACAAACAAACUGAGAUAAUCAUCUUUGGUCCAGAGAAAUUCAGAAAAAGUGAUGACAGCCCUCCUAAUUUUGUUUCUCUAAAAUCCACAACUCAGGUUAGAAAUCUAGAAUUUAUCAUGAAGUCAGGCCAGAAAUCUGGACCUUCUCAUAAACUCAGACUUGAACUCACAUUAAAUCUAUAACAUCAUCAGGAUCUUACCAUUUUAAAAAAUAUCACCAGAAUAAAAGUUUACUAAACCAGACCUAGCAGGAGAGGCAACAAGGAGCAAAAUCAAUCUACAACUUAACUGAAUCUGUAAAAUCCCAGUGUAUCUAACACACAAAAAACCUCAGAUUCAAGAAUAACAGUGUGGUUUUUUCCCUUAUCUAACCUAAAAAAAUAAAGCUUAAGCCUGAGGACAGUUUGUUGAACAUAAGUACAACAACUCCCCAUAUCAUUAAAAAAAUCUAGUUUGUAUGGAAAUUCUGAGAUCACAGAAGACACAAACUGCCUCAAUGAUUCACAGACAUAUAUAAAAUAAUAAUCAC